rnacentral:rRNA from 1 species
GCAAGUCGAGGGGUAACAGGAAGUGCUUGCACUUUGCUGACGACCGGCGCAUGGGUGCGUAACGCGUAUACAAUCUACCUUCUACUAGGGGAUAGCCCAGAGAAAUUUGGAUUAACACCCAAUAGUAUCAUAUUACAGCAUCGUAUUUAUGAUUAAAGGUUACGGUACAAGAUGAGUAUGCGUCCUAUUAGUUAGUUGGUGUGGUAACGGCACACCAAGACUACGAUAGGUAGGGGGCCUGAGAGGAUGAUC